UACGUAGGGUCCAAGCGUUGUUCGGAAUUACUGGGCGUAAAGCGCGCGUAGGCGGGCUUGUAAGUUGAUUGUGAAAGCCCCGGGCUUAACCCGGGACGUGCAGUCAAAACUGCAAGUCUUGAGUGCCUGAGAGGAUGGCGGAAUUCCCGGUGUAGUAGUGAAAUACGUAGAUAUCGGGAAGAACACCUGAGGCGAAGGCGGCUAUCUGGCGGUGCACUGACGCUGAGGCGCGAAAGCGUGGGGAGCAAACAGG
rnacentral:rRNA from 1 species